UACGUAGGGGGCUAGCGUUGUCCGGAAUCAUUGGGCGUAAAGCGCGUGUAGGCGGCCCGGUAAGUCCGCUGUGAAAGUCGGGGGCUCAACCCUCGAAAGCCGGUGGAUACUGUCGGGCUAGAGUACGGAAGAGGCGAGUGGAAUUCCUGGUGUAGCGGUGAAAUGCGCAGAUAUCAGGAGGAACACCAGUGGCGAAGGCGAGUCCCUGGACAACACCUGACACUGAGGCACGAAAGCUAGGGGAGCAAACAGG
rnacentral:rRNA from 1 species